rnacentral:tRNA from 16 species
GGUGGUCCAGUGGUCAAACAGUGCGCUGCAGAUGCGCAGGCGUGGGUUCAAUUCCAGGUUUCCGC